AAGUAGCGUACUUGACCUGUGAGAAAAUAGCAAGGUCAAUGAAAUUAUCAAAUAUAGAGAGAAUGAAUGAUGAAAGUUAGCUAUGUGACAAACAUACCUUUAGCACCAUAUGGGGCGCUCCAUGAAAUACACAUUCAAAAUGAAAUAAGCUUCCAUAGAAGACGAGUUCUUCUAUAGGUUCAAUGACUUAUAGUUUGCAUAUAUAGCAAUGCAACAUUAUGCAUAGAUC
rnacentral:lncRNA from 7 species